GUCUAUGGCCAUGCUACCCUGAACGUGUCUGAUCUCAUCUGAUCUCAGAAGAUAAGCAGGGUUGGGCCUGGUUAGUACUUAGAUGGGAGACAACCUAGGAAUACCAAGUGCUGUAGGUU
rnacentral:rRNA from 1 species